rnacentral:rRNA from 1 species
UAUUGGACAAUGGGGGCAACCCUGAUCCAGCCAUGCCGCGUGUGUGAAGAAGGCCUUUUGGUUGUAAAGCACUUUCAGCAGUGAAGAAGACUCCGUGAUUACUACCCACGGACGAUGACAUUAGCUGCCGAAUAAGCACCGGCUAACUCUGUUCCAUCAGCCGCGGUAAUACCGAGGGUGCAAGCGUUAAUCGGAAUUACUGGGCGUAAAGCGAGCGUAGGUGGCUUGAUAAGUCAGAUGUGAAAUCCCCGGGCUUAACCUGGGAACUGCAUCUGAUACUGUUGAGCUAGAGUAGGUGAGAGGAAGGUAGAAUUCCAGGUGUAGCGGUGAAAUGCGUAGAGAUCUGGAGGAAUACCGAUGGCGAAGGCAGCCUUCUGGCAUCAUACUGACACUGAGGCUCGAAAGCGUGGGUAGCAAACA